CGGAUGAUGACGUACAUUUUAAUUUUGAAAAAAGACCUUCAGAAUCGGGUGUUUUGACGAUGCCAUUUAUUGAUUACACCAAAAUGCCUAAGUUAAGGUUUUUACUGUGAAAUCCGGAUAUAUAUUCUUAUGUUUCGGAAUUUGCAAGAAACAGUUCCCGUUAAAAGGCUUCGAACUCGGAAGGAUUUUACACCAGCCACUCCUUAAAACGGCAGAUACUCGAUUAAACGACGCAGGACUAGGUGGACAAAUGGUCAUAAAUCACCGGACGAAAUUACAGAUUCCGUUGGAAUUUCGUAAGCUAAAUUUUGUGCUAAAUGCGGAAAAAUGGAUAUUUCAAUAAACAAAAAGCCCAAGGUUGUGUGUAAGAAAACACAUGCUUCUCAUUCAUCUUUUGUGUCCAUUGGAUUCAUUCUAUAUAUGUUCCGUGGAUCAAUCAUUGUGAAAUGAAUCUAUUAUAUCUGAUUAUAUAGAAAUGAACGGUGAAUUUAGGAAAUUUAUAAUCGGAGCCACGGAUGCAUUUACAAUAAUGAAUCUGAGACAUUCAAUUCAUUGGAUUAUUUGUGCCAUUUUCAAUAGGAUUUUUUGUGAAAUAUUAACAUUUAACGCUACUAAUUUCCUACAUUGUUCAUAUUAAAUUGUUUGAUUUGUCA